AUCAGCACACUUAUUUUUUCUUUUCACGAAUAUUAUAAGAUAAUUUUAAAAAAUCGUGUAUUUUCUGAAAAUUCAUUAAAAACUAAUAUCAUUAUUAAAUGAAAAUUUAUUCCUCUUAUCACCAUCUGUUCGUUGAAAUUUAGCGCCAUCUGGCAAUGAUUUGAUAAACUUUCUAUCCAAAGCCGAAAAUCUCGCAGUCAGUUGUAAAGGGAUAGGUUUGCACCAUUUGGCAACUUUUCGCUGUUUACAACUGGCUGAGGCGUCAACAAUUUCGAACCGCGCAUGCGCAGUUGCUCAGCCGCUUGUACCCACAGACGCAAGUAAUCCUCUAUGCAAGUAACAAAAUAUGUAAACACACCAUGGUAACAAUUGCUGUAAAAAACCUAUUUGACUAACAGUAUUUUAAUUUGAUUUGGAAGCUUAGAAUAAAAAACUAUUUUUGGUCAUAUUUUAUUUCUUCAAGUUUUAUGCAAUUCAAGCGUCAAAUUUAAUUCUGAUAAUGGAAAGUCGAGAUAAAGAACAUCUUUUGGCCUUAAAAGUUUUAAUAUAACGGCCCUCACCUGCUCCAGGGACUGCUGGAUUGGGUUCAAAAUGACAAUGCUACGGAGUUGAAUAUUAGUAGCAGGGUUGCCACAGGCGACUAAAAUGCAACUAUUUUUGGCAUAAGGCGACUAUGGCAACUUUUUUUGCCUGAAAAGGCUAAAAACAGCAACUAUUUUCAAGAAAAGGAGACUAUUGGGAGACUUUUCUGUACUACUAGAGAUUUUUUUUUCAAGCAUAAAUUGGUGAAAAAUCUGCGCCCCACUAGAUAGUUCCUGAACACACUAAACUUUUUUUUCUUAGAAAAUAAAAAAUGUUAAAAAUUUUGAAUUGCAAA